rnacentral:pre_miRNA from 1 species
AGAACCAAUAGCUGAGGAUCUUGUUAAAAUGGAGACUCUGACUUGAUAGGUCUGGGGUGGGACUUAAGAUUCUGCAAGUCUAAUAAGCUCCCAGGUCAUGUUGUU